UGGACAUUAAUUAUACCAAAUAAAGCUGGUGCAAAUAUAAACAAACAACAGGUGGUGGGUUAGAUUUUGCCUGAGGAUUCUAGUUUACUAACCUUGAUUUAAGUUUUUAAAACUGUAGCUAAGGGACGUUAGAAUUGUUGGGACCCUCAGAAUUACGUGAUUCACCUACCUUGUAUAUCAGAACCUGAGAAACAGAGGAAGGAGACUAUUUGCUAAAGGCCACAUGGCACAUUAGUAACAGAAGUGAGAGCCUUCAGACCUUCAUUCCCAAACUCAGAUACGGGGGACACAUAAUUUUGAGAAAUGUUGCACAGGAUAAGAUAAGAAGCAGGGAUGCCAGUGAGGACAAGUCAUCUGAGAAAAAUAAAAAAGACAAGCAGGAAGACAGUUCAGAGGAUGAUGAAGCUGAAGAAGGAGAGGUUGAAGACGAGAACACAAGUGACGUAGAGAUGACAAAAAGGAACUUGGAGCAGCCAGAAGGAAUCAGUAUUACAUGAAAUAUGGGAAUUCAAAUUACGAAGGCAUGAAAGGAAUUCUUAGCAAUUCAUGGUGAGCCCAAAACCUUAAAAUGCAAAAGUAUUUAAGUUUUUCUUAAUUCUUCAGUUAGUAUUCUGUGUUGAAAUGUCUAAACCCCAUGUAGACUGGAAGGAAGAUGAGGGAAGAAUUCAAGAUUCUUAAAUGUGGUAAAUGCUGAGUUUUAGUUACAUUUAAAAUAUCUGUUUUAGUACCUAACAUUGUUUCAUUGUGUAGUUGAAAUGAAUUAGUGAGGCCAGAGGCAGUGUCUCACACCUGUAAUCCCAGCACUUUGGGAAGCCAAGGCGAAUGGAUCACCUGAGAUCAGGAGUUCUAGACCAGCCUGGCCAACAUGGUGAAACCCUGUCUCUACUCAAAAUACAUAAAUGGGCCAGUGUGGU
rnacentral:lncRNA from 1 species